rnacentral:rRNA from 1 species
GACGAACGCUGGCGGCGUGCCUAAUACAUGCAAGUAGAACGCUGAAGAGAGGAGCUUGCUCUUCUUGGAUGAGUUGCGAACGGGUGAGUAACGCGUAGGUAACCUGCCUUGUAGCGGGGGAUAACUAUUGGAAACGAUAGCUAAUACCGCAUAACAAUGGAUGACACAUGUCAUUUAUUUGAAAGGGGCAAUUGCUCCACUACAAGAUGGACCUGCGUUGUAUUAGCUAGUAGGUGAGGUAAUGGCUCACCUAGGCGACGAUACAUAGCCGACCUGAGAGGGUGAUCGGCCACACUGGGACUGAGACACGGCCCAGACUCCUACGGGAGGCAGCAGUAGGGAAUCUUCGGCAAUGGGGGCAACCCUGACCGAGCAACGCCGCGUGAGUGAAGAAGGGUUUCGGAUCGUAAAGCUCUGUUGUAAGUCAAGAACGGGUGUGAGAGUGGAAAGUUCACACUGUGACGUUAGCUUACCAGAAAGGGACGGCUAACUACGUG